GCCUUCGUAGUGUAGUGGUCAGCACGCUGGGCGCGAAUUCCAGAGGUCUCCGGUUCAAUUCCUGGCGAAGGCG
rnacentral:tRNA from 1 species